GACGAACGCUGGCGGCGUGCUUAACACAUGCAAGUCGAACGGAAAGGCCCUGCUUUUGUGGGGUGCUCGAGUGGCGAACGAGUGAGUAACACGUGAGUAACCUGCCCUUGACUUUGGGAUAACUUCAGGAAACUGGGGCUAAUACCGGAUAGGAGCUCCUGCUGCAUGGUGGGGGUUGGAAAGUUUCGGCGGUUGGGGAUGGACUCGCGGCUUAUCAGCUUGUUGGUGGGGUAGUGGCUUACCAAGGCUUUGACGGGUAGCCGGCCUGAGAGGGUGACCGGCCACAUUGGGACUGAGAUACGGCCCAGACUCCUACGGGAGGCAGCAGUGGGGAAUAUUGCACAAUGGGCGGAAGCCUGAUGCAGCAACGCCGCAUGCGGGAUGACGGCCUUCGGGUUGUAAACCGCUUUCGCCUGUGACGAAGCGUGAGUGACGGUAAUGGGUAAAGAAGCACCGGCUAACUACGUG
rnacentral:rRNA from 1 species